UACGGGGGGAGCAAGCGUUGUUCGGAUUUAUUGGGCGUAAAGGGCGCGUAGGCGGUCACGCACGUCCGUUGUGAAAUCGCUCGGCUCAACUGGGCGGGGUCAGCGGAUACGGCGUGGCUGGAGCAAGCUAGGGGGCAAUGGAAUUCCCGGUGUAGUGGUGGAAUGCGUAGAUAUCGGGAGGAACACCAGUGGCGAAGGCGGGUGCCUGGAGCUUUGCUGACGCUGAUGCGCGAAAGCGUGGGGAGCGAUCCGG
rnacentral:rRNA from 1 species